rnacentral:rRNA from 1 species
UACGUAGGGUGCAAGCGUUAAUCGGAAUUACUGGGCGUAAAGCGUGCGCAGGCGGUUAUGUAAGACAGAUGUGAAAUGCCCGGGCUUAACCUGGGAACUGCAUUUGUGACUGCAUGGCUAGAGUUUGGCAGAGGGGGGUAGAAUUCCACGUGUAGCAGUGAAAUGCGUAGAUAUGUGGAGGAACACCGAUGGCGAAAGGCAGCCCCCUGGGUCAAGACUGA